rnacentral:pre_miRNA from 1 species
UGACUUUCUUUCUACUUCUGCCCUUCUUAUCCAUUAACCAUCCUUUGCUGGAGAGUUUCAGCCACAUAACAAGUGGUAGGGGUGUGUGUUUCAACUAGUAGGGGUGUGUGUUUCAAAUGCUCAUGAAGGUACAGUGGAAAUAUAUGAUUUCACUCUGAAUACAUGGGCUGUUGCAGGAGACCUGUGGAGAAUUUCCAUGAUACUGCAGCAAAGGGAUGUGCAAUAGGUAAGAAAGGUGGAAGUUGAAAGGUAGGUACA